rnacentral:lncRNA from 1 species
UUUCUAUUUUUUAGUGAUGUACAUCAUUCGAAAAUGUUCUUUCUCUUCAUCUUCUCUGGCAGUCCACUAUAAUAAUUAGUUGUGCAGUGAGUUAAAAUUUAUGUCAAAUUCAAGCUCCAGGUGAAAAAAACGCGCUUUCGUCAUCGAUUUUACUUCGCCUUUUGUUGAACAGGCUGCUGAAGCAGCACAACAUAGUUUUGUCGUGUACAGAGAGGACUGCAAAGACGAUUUGCGAAGUUUCAGAAUGUCAUUUUGAAACUGAAGGACGCACCGGCCUCGGUCGUUUAUCUGAAGCCGGUCAGAACCAAUUAAAGGCAUUGUUGAAAAGAGGCAGCCAGAAAAAAAUUCGGAAACAAUUGAAUCAAGUGAGAAAACGAACUGCAGUCAUCAAAGUAUCGAGUGCAACUAAGAUUCACAGGGUUUGUUCAAAAUUUAAAAAUUUGUAUGCCCCAUAGUCUGAGCAAACGAAGAGCACCGCUUCUCGUCGCCUUUCAGCAUUUUGCCAGGCACCGAGCAAUAUCAAUCACAAUAACAGAUUUCCGAUGGUUAACCUUAGAAAAGCAACUGUGUCUAAGAAGCAACUGUGUGUGGCAAAAAAACGGAGAAAAUAAUGGGAAGCCAUAAAAGAUACACCUAAGCCCAGAGUUAAGCUAGAUCUCCAUUACAAAAAGACGAUGAUUAGCGUUUAGUGAAAUGGGAACGGUCUUAUAGACGGAGCAUUGCUUAAGAAGGACAAAACGGUCACCAAAGAACUGUACAUGGUCUAGUUGCAUCGAGUAAACGAUGCCGUCCACCACGGAAGAUGCGAUAGACAAAGCCAAGCCACCCCUUUUCCACCACAAUACCAGGUCGCACAUAGCAAGGAGAUGAAUGGCGCCCUGCAAGACUUCAGGAAUGAGGUCCUUUUGCAUUCAUCACCUAGCUCCGAUAGAUUUUCGAUCACUGGCUAAUGAAAAUUAGCAACCACAUAUUUGAAACUGGAGAAAUCCUCAAAAUCUGGCGCUUUAUGAACUCGUUAACAUCGGACCUGACAACUGAGGGCAGGAAAAAAAUAAAUUGGUUGACAGGUGAAAAAUAGUGACAGCGAAUACAUAAUUUAGGCACAAAUACCGGAUCAUGGAGAACAAGGGCAGCGGCACCAACAGCAACGACAGAAUACGAAACGGGAUUGAAACUCUGAUUGGAUGGCGAAAGGAACAUCGAGGGUCGGCCUUGUGGCCUCGUUUCAAAUUCAAACGAGUGGUCCAUGCCGCCCUUUGUGUCGAGUCGGGACGACAUGCGUACUCUUUGGUAGCUAUGCGGCCCUGUCGUAACGACCUUGAUUAGGUUCCGCUGGCUAACGAUAGCUAACGCAGAAGAAUGCGUACGCUGGAAUCUUACAAGCCAUCAGCGGUAUGUUAUAGAACCACUCCUGGCUUGAGCCUUCUGAACGCCUUCUUUUUCUUUUCCGCGUCCGUCCUGCUGCCGUAGCGUUGUUCUUAUCGCCGCUAUUCAGCUCGAAAAGCGAAAAAGAGUUGAACCUGUCUGCGCACAGUCGCCACCCUAUCAGAGCGCUUCAAAGUGCCCCGCCUGCCGCUUCCGCGAUACCGCGACGUUCGGUCAUCAUAGAGGAUUUCGUGUACAAGAACCCCCCUCAUCCAAUUUUCUCGUUUUCGCUUCGCCUGGGUCUGUCGGCCACUUAUUCUUGAUUUUUCAGAAAACUUCAAAAAUUGUUCCUAGGAUUAAACGACAUUUUAGGGAUUAGCAACGGCAUUUCGGCACAGUUUACCGCAUAAGUAUGAAUCCACCUUACGAGUGAACUAUAACAAGGUCUCUAGUAGAAAAAAGCUUAACAAUAUGACGCAAUGAGCUAAAAAAAUUCACGAACGGAUUUAUAUAAUACUCGUAGCACUUUACCAUGGUUUUUUAUUUAAAAGUUUGCCUCUUUUUGUUGACGCAACUACCGUAAGAGGCACGUGUGUACUUUUCUCGGGCUGUUUACUAUUUAACUUAUUUCCGUCUUCAGGCUGGUGCAAUUUCAGGGUCGUCUUUAAGGUAUUAAUAAUAUUUUGCGAUGCUUAGUUCAUUUUUACUUAACUUUAUAUCUGCAAGGAUUAGUUUUAGCUAUGAGACCAUUGGGAUAUUCACGUACGCGGAAACGAAACAGAACUGAUCAUCGUUUAGCUUCUAGUUGUUACCCCCCAGCUUAGUGUUUGUCAUUUUAAUCAAGUAGAGUGUGUCGCGCCGAGUGUAAUAGGCUCAGAGGAAAUUACAAAUCAUAACUGGUAUUCCAAAAACUUAACUUUUUGUAUUUAGAUAUCGUUUGCUUCUUUUUUUUUUUCUUUGUUAAGAAAGGUUUUUUCUGCAAAAUAUUAUUCAAACGUAAUAGGCAGAGUCGUAUUUUCUCGCUGGCUCCCAAGUCAACAAUGUUUAGUCGCGUAAAGUGUUACAUAUAUAUCUAUAAAACUACGUCAAAUUGCUAACACGUUUCCUUAUCUGGACAAGAAAACGUAUUUAUUUACUGUGUAUACUUAUUUUUGUAUUGCGCAGAAUGUUUUAGCAACACAUUCUAUAUGGUUAAUAAUAACAGCCUAGAGGAUGGGUAAUAAAGAAUAUUAAGCCCUAUAUUAACAAAUUGGAAGUGUCUAUAUAGAGCCUGGACAUUUUGGAACAAUUCAGCGAUACAGAACAAAUAUUCGCGUAUUUUAUUUGCGAAAAUGAGACAUUGGCCUAUUCACAGAUUCUGUAAUAAAUCCUGAAAUUACUAUAUUGACUGCAGGCUUUCGAAGUG